rnacentral:misc_RNA from 1 species
AACGCACAUUGCGCCCGCCAGUACUCUGGCGGGCAUGCCUGUUCGAGCGUCAUUUCAACCCUCAAGCCCCCGGGCUUGGUGUUGGAGAUCGGCACAAGCGUCCCCCGGGCCGCCGCCGUCUCCCAAAUCUAGUGGCGGUCUCGCUGCAGCCUCCUCUGCGUAGUAACUCACCUCGCACUGGAGCGCGGCGCGGCCAAGCCGUUAAACCCCCCACUUCUGAAGGUUGACCUCGGAUCAGGUAGGACUACCCGCUGAACUUAA